rnacentral:ncRNA from 1 species
UAAAAGUUUUAUUCUUGCUUUAUUAUUUGUUUUAAUAUUAUUUUAUAUGCUAAUUUUUGUAUUUGACUAUUCCUAGUGGGUUGUUAUUAUACAUUGCAGUAAUAAGUAUUAUUUAUUUGGGUUACCUUGAUUUAGUUAUUGUUAUUAAUUGUUGAUUAAAUAUGUGCCAGCAAUCGCGGUUAUACAUUGGAUGAAAGUGAAUACUUUUAGUUAGUGUGGUUAUAAGUAUAUCUUAAUUUUGUUUUGUAUAUUGAUUAGGUGAAAUUAUUAAUAUUUGUUUAUUAAUUGGUAUUUAUUUUUAGAAGCCAUGAAAUUUUUAAUAUAUAGACUAGGAUUAGAUACCCUAUUAUUUUUUAUGUAAAUUUGUUAACUAGGGUAGUAUUAGAUAAGUCUUGAAACUUAAAGAAUUUGGCGGUGUUUUAUUUCUUUUUAGAGGAAUCUGUUCCGUAAUCGAUAGUCCGCGAUGUAUCUUACUUUUUAUAUCAGUUUGUAUACCGCCGUUGUGAAUAUUUUUUUAGAAUUUAUAAAUUUUCUUUAUUUUUUAUUAGAAUUUAUUUCAGGUCAAGGUGCAGCUUAUGAAUGGAGUGGUAAUGGAUUACAAUAUUUUUUUAGUAUAUGGAUAUUAUUAGUAUUAAUUUUUUGAAGGUGGAUUUGAUAGUAAUUUUAUGUAGAUUAUUAAGGUGAAUAGAGCUCUGGGACAUGUACAUAUCGCCCGUCGCUCUCGUUAAUUGAUUAUAAGAUGAGAUAAGUCGUAACAGAGUAGGUGUACUGGAAAGUGUACCUAGAAUUAU